UACAGAUGGUGCAAGCGUUAAUCGGAAUUACUGGGCGUAAAGCGAGCGUAGGUGGCUUGAUAAGUCAGAUGUGAAAUCCCCGGGCUUAACCUGGGAACUGCAUCUGAUACUGUUAGGCUAGAAUAGGUGAGAGGAAGGUAGAAUUCCAGGUGUAGCGGUGAAAUGCGUAGAGAUCUGGAGGAAUACCGAUGGCGAAGGCAGCCUUCUGGCAUCAUAUUGACACUGAGGUUCGAAAGCGUGGGUAGCAAACA
rnacentral:rRNA from 1 species